GAUCCUGGCUCAGGAUGAACGCUAGCGGCAGGCCUAAUACAUGCAAGUCGAACGCUCAGUAGCAAUACUGGGAGUGGCGCACGGGUGCGUAACGCGUACACAAUCUACCUCUAAGCGGGGGACACCUCCUGGAAACGGGGAUUAAUACCGCAUAAUAUGCCGAAGUCGCAUGACUUUGGUAUUAAAGCAGCAAUGCACUUAGAGAUGAGUGUGCGUCCCAUUAGGUAGUUGGUGAGGUAACGGCUCACCAAGCCUAUGAUGGGUAGCCGGUCUGAGAGGAUGGUCGGCCACACGGGCACUGAGACACGGGCCCGACUCCUACGGGAGGCAGCAGUAAGGAAUAUUGGUCAAUGGUGGAAACACUGAACCAGCCAUGCCGCGUGGAGGAAUAAGGUCCUACGGAUUGUAAACUCCUUUUGACGAGGAAGAAAAUGUUAGAUUUAUCUAAUUUUGACGGUACUCGUAGAAUAAGCACCGGCUAACUCCGUG
rnacentral:rRNA from 1 species